AUAUCAACACCAUUAUUUCAUGCAGUAAUAGUAGUAGUAGUAGUAGUAGUAGUAGUAGUAGUAGUAGUAGUAGUAGUUUUGAUGACAGUAAAACGCCUCCUCCCUUCAGACGCUACUUUGCGAGGAUAAUAAAGGCCAAUAAAAAAUCACAUGCUUAUAAAAAGGGAAAAAAAAGAACGUAAAAAUCGGGUUAAUUAAAGUAGGUACCAGGUGGAGGGCCGAGGGAGGGAGGGAGGGAGGAAUGGAGAGAAGGAGGAAUGAAGGAACAGAGGAGUGGAGCAUGAAGGGGAGGAAAGAAUGAAUAAUGAAAGGAAGGGAGGAAAGAAUGAAUUAUGAAAGAGAUAGAGGGAAGAGGAAAGUUACAUGAGAAGGAGGAGGGAGUUAGGGGGGACAGAGAAAGGGAGUGAAGAAAGGAAAAAAGAAUUAAAAAAAAAUGGAGAAUGAGAGGAAGUGGCAUGAAAAAAAAGAGAGAGAUAGCAAGGUGAAGAGGAAGACAAGAAAGAUACAUGAUAGAAAUGAUAAGGAAAUAUGGAAGGGAAGGAAGGAGAAAGGGAAAAAGGGAAAGUAUAAAAAAAGGGAGAAUGAGAGGAAGUGACAUGAAAACAAAAGAGAGAGAUAGCAAGGUGAAGAGGAAGACUGGAGGAAGACAAGAAAGAUACAUGAUAGAAAUGAUAAGGAAAUAUGGAAGGGAAGGAAGGAAAAAGGGAAAAAGGGAAAGUAUAAAAAAAGGGAGAAUGUGGGAGAAGCCAAAAAGGGAGCGUGUAAUAGAAAGGGAGGUUGCAGGAGAAGGCAAGAAGGGAGCUUUUAAUAGAAAUGGAGGUUAUAGGAGGCAAGGGAGAGUGUAAUACAAAGGGAGGUUGUAGGAGAAGACAAGAAGGGAGCUUAUAAUAGAAAGGGAGGUUGCAGGAGAAGACAAGAAGGGAGAUUGUAAUAGAAAGGGAGGUUGUAGGAGAAGGCAAGAAGGGAGCUUAUAAUAGAAAGGAAGGUUGUAGGAGAAGGCAAGGGAGAGUAAUUGAAAGAAGGGAGGUUGGAGAAGGCAAGAAGGGAGCUUAUAAUAGAAAGGGAGGUUGCAGGAGAAGACAAGAAGGGAGCUUAAAAUAGAAAGGGAGGUUGCAGGAGAAGGCAAGAAGGGAGCUUAUAAUAGAAAGGGAGGUUGUAGAAGAAGACAAGAAGGGAGCUUAUAAUAGAAAGGGAGGUUGCAGGAGAAGACAAGAAGGGAGCUUAUAAUAGAAAGGGAGGUUGCAGGAGAAGACAAGAAGGGAGCUUAUAAUAGAAAGGGAGGUUGCAGGAGAAGGCAAGAAGGGAGCUUAUAAUAGAAAGGGAGGUUGCAGAAGUCAAGAAGGGAGAGUGUAAUAAAAUAGGGUGAAAAUAAUAUAAAGGGAGUGUGUAAGGAUGCUGGUGGGAAGAAGGAAAGUAAGAUAUGGAGAUUGUGGACUAGAGAGGGAGGAGGAGAUGAAGGCGAUGGGAGAGGUGAAAAUGGUAGAGAGAAGUAAGACAGGGAAAAGAAAGGUAGAGAGAAGGGUAGAAAAGAAAGGUGAAGAAAGGUAGAAGAGAAAGAUAGGUAGAAAAGAAAGGUAGACAGAAAAAGUAGAAAAGGUAGAAAGGUAGAAAAGAAAGGUAGGCAGAAAAGGUAGAAAAGAAUGGUAGGUAGAAAAGAUAGAAAAAGUAGAAAGGAGAGGUAGAGAGAGGUAAGAUAGGGAAAAGAAAGGAGGAGGAGGAGGAGAAGGGGAAAAGUUAUAUAUACAAAAGGACGGAGAGAGCUCAGUUUUUCUAAGCCUUGUGGUAUAUAUAGAGAUUGACACGUCUGGUGGAUGGAUUGCUUAUC